CUCUGCCGUCGCAUCAUGAGUGCACGUACGCGAGGAGUGAAACAUUGAGGAAGGGUAAGAGUUCUGUAACAUAAUUACGACGACGAAGCUUCUCCACUUUGUUGAGAGUGCAGACCGGGUCCCUGACAUCGCUCGGUAGUGGAGCAUCACUCGGUCAGGAGUGAAAAGAUUCCUGUGGAUGAUUCCAACGACUUCCAGCAAAUCCCAGUAGAUGGCGAGCUACCCAGUUUGAAUUCAGGAAACAGGAUCUACACUUUCUCGGAAAUAGCAGACAAACAGUCUGCUUGUGGUAGGAUUGUGCCAGUCACCUGUGGCACCAACUCAAACACACAUUAGAAAGAGUGCACUCCAACGAUCCGACAUGUGGAUUCCCGACCUUUGAACUCAGACAGAUCAGAACUCCUCUGAUCGUAAAUAACUUAACAUUUUAAUUUCUCUAAAGGGCCCAGUUUUUUUAUUUUCUAUGCAAAUGUUUAUUUCUUUGUAUGUUGCAUAGUGUUAUGUUGCAAACUAAAAUGCAAAGUGCAGUUAAUUUAAACCUGUGGUGUUGCUGUGGUCAUUGCACUCUAAUCCUUGCUCCUUACGAACCGAGGGAAGCGUGUACUUUCCAGGAGUGGGUUACAGAUCUUUGUCAGAAUUUAAAUUCAUAAACCAGCAAUAUUCACUGAAGACGUAACGCUGUCACCAUGCAUUUUGAUUGUUAUGCAUCACAUGCAUUGUGUUGUCACAAUGCACAUGCAAGUCGAUGGCAAUUCAAACUAUUACGCUGAUGGAAAGAAUUCCUAAAUAGGGAACAUUUGGCAUGGGACACAGCUGUAACAUAGGCACAGUUACAUCACUGGCAUUUGGGGCUUAUCUGUAGUUUCAUUCUUGUCAUUAUUCUUAUUGGUUAUGAUAAAGCUGUGUUCAUGUAAGUCAAACCUAAACUGACAAUAAAAACAUGAGAUCACCUGAUGGCUAAAGCUAAACUUUUCUGGUGGUUACUCGUAGCUUGUGAACCCUCAAAAUACACUUGAUAUGGCAACCCUGUCUUGUAAAACUUACAGUCCUUACAAAACUAAACUGCGUUCUCAAUUUAGCUUUAUAUGGAACACAGUGAUGUGUGACGUAGAGGAUGGUUUGUAAAAACAAAAACUACACUAUUCCUAGUUCCAGUUAUUUGCAGUGUUAUGAGUAAAUUCCACAUGGAGAGGGAGGUUUUUGAGACCACAUGCUGUCUCUUUCCUAACCCUUACUAGGUGCCUUAGGUGCAUAAACAAUACCAUAUUCAUUACCAGGAAAUGUGAAUUAUCAUCACUCUCAUUUGUGUUUAAAGUGCCACAAGCAGUACACCAUCCCAAUGUGUUGCAUGUCUACAGAAAUGUAAAUAAUUAACACAAUACUGUUUCAUAAAGCAGCAAAAAACAUGUUCCCCACAAUAUGUAUGCAAGUAUCCAGUUUAGUUGUGUGGGAGCCUACGUUUUAGUAAAAACUGGACAUGUCAAUUAGUCGUGCAUCAUUACAGCAGUACAGGAAAUAA